UCCGGCUUAUCACCGGCAGUCCCCUUAGAGUGCCCAACUUAAUGCUGGCAACUAAGGAUAGAGGUUGCGCUCGUUGCGAGACUUAACCCAACAUUUCACAACACGAGCUGACGACAGCCAUGCAGCGCCUGUCUCUACAUUCCCCGAAGGGCACUCCCUCAUCUCUGAAGGAUUCGUAGGAUUUCAAACCCAGGUAAGGUUUUGCGCGUUGCUUCGAAUUAAACCACAUAAUCCACCGCUUGUGCGGGCCCCCGUCAAUUCCUUUGAGUUUUAGUCUUGCGACCGUACUCCCCAGGCGGAACACUUAACGCGUUUGCUACGUCACGGCAGGGGUUAAUACCUGCCACAACUAGUGUUCAUCGUUUACGGCGUGGACUAC
rnacentral:misc_RNA from 1 species